UCAGGGAGAAUCCUGGUGACUGGUAAACAGGAUAAUGGGCUGUACUUUGUUAAUAAAAAUGGUUACCCUCUUCAGUUCUUUUAGGUAAAAGUCCAUAUGAAGUGAUGUUUGGUUUUAAACCCUCUUUUGCUCAUCUUAGAGUUUUUGGUUGUUUAUGCUUUAGCACUGUGUUAAAUGAUUUAGAUAAGUUUUCUGUAAAUUCUGAAAAAUGUGUCUUGAUUGGUUAUUCAAAUGUGAAAAAAGGUUACA
rnacentral:lncRNA from 1 species